rnacentral:rRNA from 1 species
CUACGGGAGGCUCCAGCGGGGAAUAUUGCACAAUGGGCGCAAGCCUGAUGCAGCCAUGCCGCGUGUAUGAAGAAGGCCUUCGGGUUGUAAAGUACUUUCAGCGGGGAGGAAGGGAGUAAAGUUAAUACCUUUGCUCAUUGACGUUACCCGCAGAAGAAGCACCGGCUAACUCCGUGGCCAGCAGCCGCGGUAAUACGGAGGGUGCAAGCGUUAAUCGGAAUUACUGGGCGUAAAGCGCACGCAGGCGGUUUGUUAAGUCAGAUGUGAAAUCCCCGGGCUCAACCUGGGAACUGCAUCUGAUACUGGCAAGCUUGAGUGUCGUAGAGGGGGGUAGAAUUCCAGGUGUAGCGGUGAAAUGCGUAGAGAUCUGGAGGAAUACCGGUGGCGAAGGCGGCCCCCUGGACGAAGACUGACGCUCAGGUGCGAAAGCGUGGGGAGCAAACAGGAUUAGAUACCCGAGUAGUC